rnacentral:rRNA from 1 species
UACGUAGGGGGCAAGCGUUGUCCGGAAUUAUUGGGCGAAAGAGCGUGUAGGCGGUCCGGUAAGUCCGCUGUGAAAGUCGGGGGCUCAACCCUCGGAUGCCGGUGGAUACUGUCGGGCUUGAGUACGGAAGAGGCGAGUGGAAUUCCUGGUGUAGCGGUGAAAUGCGCAGAUAUCAGGAGGAACACCAAUUGCGAAGGCAGCUCGCUGGGACGUUACUGACGCUGAGACGCGAAAGCGU